GACGAACGCUGGCGGCGUGCUUAACACAUGCAGUCGAACGGAAAGGCCCUGCUUUUGUGGGGUGCUCGAGUGGCGAACGGGUGAGUAACACGUGAGUAACCUGCCCUUGACUUUGGGAUAACUUCAGGAAACUGGGGCUAAUACCGGAUAGGAGCUCCUGCUGCCUGGUGGGGGGUGGAAAGUUUCGGCGGUUGGGGAUGGACUCGCGGCUUAUCAGCUUGUUGGUGGGGUAGUGGCUUACCAAGGCUUUGACGGGUAGCCGGCCUGAGAGGGUGACCGGCCACAUUGGGACUGAGAUACGGCCCAGACUCCUACGGGAGGCAGCAGUGGGGAAUAUUGCACAAUGGGCGGAAGCCUGAUGCAGCAACGCCGCGUGCGGGAUGACGGCCUUCGGGUUGUAAACCGCUUUCGCCUGUGACGAAGCGUGAGUGACGGUAAUGGGUAAAGAAGCACCGGCUAACUACGUG
rnacentral:rRNA from 1 species